GAUGAAGAACGUAGUGAAAUGCGAUAAGUAAUGUGAAUUGCAGAAUUCAGUGAAUCAUCGAAUCUUUGAACGCACCUUGCGCCCUUUGGCUAUUCCGAAGGGCAUGCCUGUUUGAGUAUCAUGAACACCUCAACUCUCAUGGCUUGCUGUGAUGAGCUUGGAAUUUGGGGGUCUUGUUGGCUUGUGAGCCAGCUCCUCCUAAAUGAAUUAGCUUGCCGGUGUUUGGUGGCAUCACAGGUGUGAUAACUAUCUACUCUUGUGGUUUCCCAUCAGGUAACCUCCAGUGAUGGAGGUUCGCUGGGGCUCAUAAAUGUCUCUCCUCAGUGAGGACAGAUUUUGACUGUUUGAUCUCAAAUCAGGUAGGACUACCCGCUGAACUUAAGCAUAUCAAUAAGCGGAGGA
rnacentral:misc_RNA from 1 species